GUUUGAGCUACCUUGGCCAGAAACAGCAACUGGGCCCAAUCUGCCGCUGUGUCCGCAGGAAACUUCACAAAGGUUUACGUAUGGAAAGCAUGUGGGGCCAUGUCCAUCUCGGCUGUGGGGACAGGAAUUCUCAGGGAGACAGGCAAAGAUGUAAAUAACUCCUAAGCUCGCAUGCUAGGUGCUAUAGAACGUCCAAGAAGAAUACAAGUGUGAUCCUGACUGAGCUAUCAUUUCUUCACCCAGAAGACUAACUUGGGGAAAGCAUCGCCCUGAGCUAACAUCUGUUGCCAAUCUUCUUUUUUAUUUCCUCCCCAAAGCCCCAGUGCCUGGUUGUAUGUUCUGGUUGUAAGUCAUUUCAGUUCUAUGUGAGCUGUCACCACAUUGUGGCAUCUGACAGACGGGUGGUGUGUUUCUGCAACUGGGAAACGAACGCUGGCCGCCAAGGCGGUGAGCAUUCAAAUUUAACCACUAGGCCAUCAGGACUGGCCCCAUAAAGCCUUUUUAACAAGACCCAAAGUACAGUUGGCGCACCUCUUCUCUGAACUCCUACACAGGCUGUAAGCAAUCAAUUCAGCACCAAGUUAUAUAAGAUUUCUAUUGUUACAUUAUAGUAAUAAUGAAAUGAAAGCUUCCAUUUAUCCAGUGUGUACUAUGUGCCAGCCAGUCUGUUUUAUGCUUUCCAUACGUUGCCACAAAUAUUCCCAGGAGCUCCGUGAUGCUGGUGUCAAUAUACCCAUUGUACAGAUUAAGAAAUUGAAACUCAUGGAUGUCAAGUACCUUGCCCCAAACCAGACAGUUAGUAAGACCCUGUGAAUCCAAGUCUGUAUGCCUCCAAAGUUCUUUCAAAUGCAUCAUUUUAUAUCA